rnacentral:rRNA from 1 species
UACGGAGGGGGCUAGCGUUGUUCGGAAUUACUGGGCGUAAAGCGCACGUAGGCGGCUUUGUAAGUUAGAGGUGAAAGCCCGGGGCUCAACUCCGGAAUUGCCUUUAAGACUGCAUCGCUAGAAUUGUGGAGAGGUAAGUGGAAUUCCGAGUGUAGAGGUGAAAUUCGUAGAUAUUCGGAAGAACACCAGUGGCGAAGGCGGCUCACUGGACCGGCAUUGACGCUGAGGUGCGAAAGCGUGGGGAGCAAACGGG